UCCGAGAUUUUCUGUGUCCUGACUUCCUGUUCCUCGCGUAAGAGAGGUGCGCUCGAUUUCUACAAAGCAAGUGCCGACGGCUAACAGCUGUGCAAGACACUGUUGCAUGAGAAAAAACAGAAACUGUGCAGUCACCAAACUCCAUGUACUACUAUUAAGGUGUAAUUUGCCCUGCCUGAACAGAGGCAACAGAUGAGAUAUCAAUGAAGGAUACUUUGUACAGCCCCAACCAAUCCUGUUAAGAGGUCUAGCAUUAAGUGUAGAAGCCGACCGCCUGGCUGUCUCUCCACAACAGUUUGCAGCUCUCUGUGCGGGGGUGCAGAGAGAACAACACCUCCUCCCGUGAGGACCUCUCCACUACCUGACUGAGCAGGAACACAAUCACCCUCUCCAUGAU